GGGGGCGUCAGGGUUCGACAGAACUGCAGUGACUCUUCGUUGCGAGCCGUGGAUUCUCGUUGGCCACGUAAAAAACGAGUAAAAAAGUAACUGCGAACAACAACUUCGCUUUCGCUGCCUAAGAUGCAGUGCGUGAGCCAGAGUCGAGCCGGUAGGCCCUGAUCCUCGCGUCGCAAAUCCGGAUCGCUUGACGAGCUUCUGUUCGUAGUAAGUUGAGCUAAAACUAAUCGAACUGGGUGACGGGUCAGGUGGUCUCGGCAGAGACCCGCACCGAGAUUCAGUACAGAGAAGACGCUCGUGGGAACGCUGGGAAGCCAGUUUUGGAAGGGGGUUCAAUUCCCCCCGCCUCCACCA
rnacentral:tmRNA from 1 species